ACUUCCCAAGCCGGAACGAAAAGUAGGUUUAGUAUCCAGGUACUGAAUUGCUUUUGGCUUUGUGGUUGUGAUGUUGUGUUUGCAAAUGGUCUGGUAUGCCAGACAUAGUAGCUAAGCUACUGUUUUUUUUCACUUCCUGUACAUUUACCCUGUCUGUCCAU
rnacentral:other from 1 species